CACGUAGGGUGCGAGCGUUGUCCGGAAUUAUUGGGCGUAAAGAGCUCGUAGGCGGUGUGUCGCGUCGGGAGUGAAAACUCGGAGCUCAACUCCGAGCCUGCUUCCGAUACGGGCAGACUAGAGGUAGGCAGGGGAGAGCGGAACUCCUGGUGUAGCGGUGGAAUGCGCAGAUAUCAGGAAGAACACCGGUGGCGAAGGCGGCUCUCUGGGCCUUACCUGACGCUGAGGAGCGAAAGCGUGGGUAGCGAACAGG
rnacentral:rRNA from 1 species